rnacentral:lncRNA from 1 species
AAACAAGGAUGCAAUUGCCUGAGUUCUAACAGCCCUCUUGCAUCUAGGAAGAAAUGUCCAGAAUUUCAGAGACAUUGGCCCCAUCAUUUUUGAGCUCCUGAACUGAAACCUGCAACUACCUACUUCUAGACAUCUUACUGUAUGCGAAAAAUAACUCCUUCUCUGUUUAAGCAUAAGGAGGAUUUUGUAUUAGGUAUCAUGUUCUGCAUUAGCUUGCUUUCCUAACUAAAAUAAUAGCUAACAUUUACAAACACUUACCACAAGCCUGGCACUGUGUUAAGCAUGUUAUAACCAUUAUGCCAUUUAACCUAAGUAAUAAUCCUAUGGAAAAGUGGUAUUAUUGCCACAUUAGAACUUUUCCCAGAGAUCAGAUCUGCUAAAGGCUCUGCUACUCCAAUUCUACCUAACUCCUGGGGUGCAAACCCUAGUCCGGCUGUACCUACUCCAAAACAAUAAGUAAAAGCUUUACUCCACCUGGAUAUAGGCUGAGCCAGAAAUCACUUUGAGAAACAGAGAUUUGAGCCAAGGUCCUCAAUCCCUUCCAAUGGCAAGGGAGAAAGUAAGCAAAGACAAUGACAACUCAAAGAGGACAGGACCCAGGGGAUCUCCAGGGACUUCAGUGGACCAAGAAGUGGAGGAAGGAAGAAGGGAGAAGAGAAAGAAGCUCUUCAGGGAGGAGACUUCGGUGCUGACUAGAAGAUCCCAAAGUGCUGGGAUUACAGGCGUGAGCCACCGCGUCUGGCAGAAUGGUCUUUCUAGACUGAGAAGGGCAACUCUUUGGGUGCAGACACUCCAGAUGCCACAGCCACUGCCAGAACUGUCACACAAGCUCUCACCUAUUUUUUGCAUUCAAAUAGCUCCUAAAUAGAGAAGUUGGAAACAAGAGUUGAGUAUGUCUGCCUUCUCUGAGUCACACAGGGAGAGUGAAAUAUCUGUUGCAUGGACACCCUUUCUGCUGCACAUUUGAUGAAAAGAGCCCACUUUGGUGUGCUUUUUGGCUAGAUCCAGUUCAUUCUGGCCUCUAGUUUUCCUUGUG